GACGAACGCUGGCGGCGUGCUUAACACAUGCAAGUCGAACGGAAAAGCCCUGCUUUUGUGGGGUGCUCGAGUGGCGAACGGGAGAGUAACACGAGAGUAACCUACCCUUGACUCUGGUAUAACUUCAGGGCACUGGAGCUAAUCCCGGAUAGGAGCUCCUGCUUCAUGGUGGGGGUUGGAAUGUUUCGGCGGUUGGGGAUGGACUCGCGGCUCAUCAGCUUGUUGGUGGGGUAGUGGCUUACCAAGGCUUUGACGGGUAGCCGGCCUGAGCGGGUGACAGGCCAGGUUGAGACUGAGAUGCGGCCCAGCCGUCUAGGGGAGGCAGCAGUGGGGAAUAGUGUAAAGUGGGGGGGAGGCGUAAGCGACAACGCCGCGUGCGGGAUGACGGCCUUCGGGUUGUAAACCGCGUUCGCCUGGUACGAGGCGUGAGUGACGGUAAUGGGUAAAGAAGCACCGGCUAACUACGUG
rnacentral:rRNA from 1 species